UGGGGUGCAGGAAUGAAGGAAGGGGUUGGGGACAGUGCACUUUCCACGAGAUGCCAAGAAGGAGUGAUGGUUAAUUUUGUGUGUCAACUUGGCUAGGUUAUAGCAUGCAGGUGCUGGGUUAAACACUGGCUUGAAUGCUGCUGGGGGCCUUUUGUAGCUGUGAUUAACACCUACAAUCCAUUGAUUUUAAGUAAAGGAGAUUGCCUUUGAUAACAUGGGUGGGCCUUGUCCAAUCAGCUGGAGGCCUUAAGAGCAAAGAACCCAGUGUUCCUAUUUCCUCCAUGGUGAAAUGCUGACAGACUAGGAGGUAUUAGGUCUUUGAUGCCUCAGACAACCUUCCUAGGGUUUUGUUUUGGCUCAAAUAUGACUUUGAGCUUGACUUUAUAACACUCGCCCUCUGCCCUUUCCCCAUAUAAAUUUAUUCAGCACUUGCCCUGUGAUAGGUGCUGUGCAAUGGGCAGUGGGGAUACAGUGAUGGAGAAACAUGUCCCCAACCUCAUGGUUUGGUAGGGAUAUGGCAGCACAAGCAGACAACUAUAAUUCCCUCUCUUGAAGCACCUCACUCUGAAUUAUAAUUUCCUAUUUGUGCUUCCGUUUCCCCACCAAACCAUGAGAGGAAAUCAUGAAAGUCCAUAAGGUGUGUGCCCCGAUUGGCAGGGCUGGGGCAGGCUUCCUAGGGUGGAUGAGUCAGCCAACCCACACUCGGUCCCUUGAGUCCAGUUCUCCUCUGGAAAAGAAGCCUUUUGGCCCACACCAGCCCACCUGCGACCACCGCCACUUCUCAUGGAAUCCUGUAGCUCUGAAUGCCUGCUCCAAUCCAUUGGCUCUUCUAACCCGCUCCCUUGUGUGUUUAGACAUCUCUUUAGGUAUGGCAAUCUGAUGUUCAGAAUGAGAAAAUUAAUAACCACAACCCCAGUCCCUUACAUUUGUCCUGCACUUUGCAGUUUACAAAGCACGUUCACAGCCAUCUCUUCAUCUCACGCCCUGGACAGCCCCAUUUAACCACAGGCCUUUUGGUCCUGUGCUCUCUGUGUCCUGUAACUGCUGCCGGCAGGCAAGGGGGAAAGAAUUCAGUUCUGGGACAUGCCUAGUACUCUCCUGCUAAAUGCUUCACUUGUGCUGUGUCUCAUUUAAUCUUCACAUCCAUCCAGUGAGGGGAGCAGCAUUUCAUCCCCUUUCAUAGAUGAGGAAACAGAAGCUCCAAGAGGAAGCCCUUGGCCCAUGUCACACAGCUCGUAGGAAACGGAGCUGGGAUUUCUUCUCACACAGGCUUGACUCCCAACCGGAAUAGGGUUGAACACUCUCUGCUGCAUGAAGUUACUUGGUAUUUUUCUCUCAACGCCAGGUAUAAAUAGUAGCAUACUAAAGGUUCAGCGGUCUGAUUUAUUCGUUAUUUUCUUUGUCUCUUUCUGUCUUACCUUUUUGUUCUUCGAUUUGGCAUGCAGAUGAGAGGGAAGGGAUAUUUGUCCUUGGCAUACUGGCCCCACAGACACUGAAGAAACACCGCCCAUGACCAGGCACCUGUUUGUUUUGCUGCCUGGAAAGUCUCCAGCGAGGAACAGGAUGUUAAGAUGUCAGAACAUUAGCUGCCCAAGAUGGAUGAUUCCUUCCUGUUCCUCCACCCUCUGGGCCUGAAUGUCACUGAGGACAGCUGCUAAAGGAACUGGGAAUAGCUCUGCCUACCAGAAUAUCCUCUCCCUUGGCUGGGGCUAGGGGUACCCUACGAGGCCUUUCUCUCGGGCCUCUGUCUUCCCAGCCUCUUUGUAGAUCAGCGCCUCUUGGAUCCAUUUCAUGACCUCCAUGUCUCUUUGGGGUCACGGCUUUCUUUCUUAUUUGCCAGUGGAUCCUGUGGUUGUCUUCAUUCAACUGUCUUCUGUGUCAGGCAGCUGUGGGUCAUGGGGGCACAGAGCUGAACUUGGCCUCUGCCCUUGAGGCACUCCCAGGCUGGGGAGCCUCGAACAUCCCAUGUCUUGGUUUCCUAGGGCUGCUUAACAACACACAACAAACUAGGUGGCUUAAAACAACAGGAAUCUAUUGUCUCACAGUUCUGGAGACUAGAUGUCCAAAGUUAAAGUGACUCCAGAGUCAUGUUCCCUCAGAAACCUGUCACCUGUCGGGGAGGAUCCUUCCUUACCUCUUCCUAGCUUCUGGAGUUUGCCGCCAGUCUUUGGCCUUCUUGGCUUGUACAUAUAUCAUUCCAACCUCUGCCUCUAUCUUCAAAUGGCUUUCUCCUCUGUCUGGCUGUCUGUCUCUUCUUGUAAGAACACAGUAAUUUUGGAUUAGGGCCCGCCCUAAUCCAAUAUAACUGCAUCUUAACUAAUUACAUCUUCAAAGACCCUGUUCCCAGAUGAGGUCACAUUCACAGAACCAGGGGUUAGGACUUGAGCAGAUCUUUUAGGGGGACACAAUUAGACCCAUCACACUCCACCAAGGGUAAGUACUUGGGUGGGAGGAAGUGCAGGGGCUUGUGGGAGCCCAGAGGAGCAUACCUGAGGAGUCAGGGAAGGUUUCAGGGGGAGUGCUGCUUGGGUGUGGUCUUAAAGGAUGCACAAGAAUUUUCCAGGCAGAGAGGCAGAGGGAGAGUAUUCUAAAAAGAGGGAUUAGUCAGUCCUGGUGCUCCCAAGGAACCACACAUGUAUGUACAUGGGAGAGCCCCUAGAUAUUGGAACACCUCUUGUGCUGUCCGUGUGACUUGGCUUCUCAUUCAUAAACAUCUAUCUCUUCCCUGAGUAGUGCCAUGGUUCCUCACUCCCGUGAUUCCUCAUUUUCUCAUCCUCCAGCAUUUUUUCUGUACUUGUGCUACUCUAUCAACAUCCCUCAGAAAGUAGCGGUUAGCAUAAGACUAAAGAGCAUGGCCCUCUGGAUUACACUAGACUUUGGUUUGAAUCCAGGCCUUGUCCCUUAGCAACCAGUUAGGAGAGCUUGGGGAAGUUUCUCUGAGCCUGUGUUUCCUUAUAUGCAGGGUCAUAAAGCCCCCUUGGUUUCUUGUGGGGUUUAAAUCAGGUAAUGAAUGCAAAGGCCUGACACAGAGCCUGGCACAUGACAAGUGCUCAAUAAAUAGCAGCAGUGACCAUGCUGUUCAUAGUGAGAGGCCCAGGAUUGAAUACAAGUCAGUUCUCAGUGAAGCCUGGCCAGAGCAGGAGUGUCGCCUCCCAGCCCAGACACUGGCCUUCUCAUGCAGCGGAUGAUCACAGUGGCCCUUUUGGCAGAACAUCGCUCUGCUCACUCACCCCAGGCUGCCUGGUCCUUCCCUGGAAGCUGUAGGUCUCAUCCCUAAGGGCUGCCACUGCUAAGUCAUAUCCCCCAACCAUUUGCUGGAGUUGUUGGCGUUAUGGAUUCUUGUUCAGGGCCUGAUGAAAUUCUACUGUGGGUACAUUUAGCCCAUCCUUCAAGCCUCUAGAAGUCAUCUUGAAUCUUAAUUCUGCCUCCAAAUAUUUCCAAGCCUACUUCCUAGCAAGAUUUCCCCCCAGCCCAAUCCAUUUAAUAGACCAUAACCACAGAAGCUUUUGGACAGUGCUCUUUUCCUUUUAUCCCUCUUCUGUUCAAAAUUCUUCCGUGACUGCUGAAUAGGUGAAGUUCAAACUCCUUAGCCAGGCUCACAAGACCCUUCAUUAUCUAACACCAGCCUACUUUUUGAGCUGUUUAAUUUUAUUUUUCCUGCCCAGAUAGUGAUAAUAAUAGUUUCUAUCUCAUAGGAUUUUUCAGAGGAUUAAACGAGUUGGCUCUGGAAAAGCACGUAGAACAGGACUUUCAAGAACUGCAUGGGGUCUGAGAUUUUGCCCCACUUGCAAACUAAUAGGUUGAUAUUGGAAAGAAUGACAGAACUUUCGAAGAAACCUGAAGCCAAGUUGAAGUGCGCAGAAGUGCUUCUCAGUGGUGCCAAGAUCAGGACAGGAAGCACUGAAACUCACUCUCAACAUACUUCCAACUGUUACCAUUGACUAGCCACAUUUGGAUCUGGGGAGGUGUUUCCUGAAAUCAAGUAUCAAUGUUAGUGCAAAAGAGCCCAUGUUAUGGAGCAAUUACUAUGGACCACACAGUAUUCUAAGGGCUCUACAUAUAUUAUUCUUUAUGCGGCUAUUGUUACCCAAUGUUGCUAUUCCCAAUUUGCAGAGGAAGAAACUGAAGAACAGAAACAUUAAAUAUCUUACCCAAGGUUACAUGGCUGGUAAGUGGGGAGCCAAGGAUUCAAACUUAGGCAGCCUGGAACCAGAGCCCCUUGGUACUGAUAGCCAAUUAGAGAUUUUGAUGAACAGUAGUUAACCAGUGAUGCUAUACCAAGUUGCUACAAUCCCAGCCUAAAGCAAAGACACUUGAUUUUCUAGGAGAUUUGUUGAGGUCUCAUUAUCAACAAGAGUAUGGUUUUCCUUACCUUUUGGAAUAUUGGAAAUACCUCUAGGUGCCCCUCUCUCAUCUCCUUCAUCACCUUCCUGGACCCUUUGAGUCCAAAGGUCUGAGGUUGGGAACCCUAAUGUAAGCUAACCUUCUCAUGAUUCUCAUGAAAAAGAACUUAGAUCAAGUGAUUUAAAGUGGCAGUUAUAAUCAUAUUAAUACCAUGUUUAUUGCCUUGCUUGAGUCUAAUAAAUAAUAUAUUUUACCAAAAACGGCACCCUAAAAUUUACCAAUAACUUUUCAUAUAAUGAUUCAUUUGAUACAAAUUAUAAUAACUGUGAACUGUGA